UACGUAGGGUGCGAGCGUUGUCCGGAAUUAUUGGGCGUAAAGAGCUCGUAGGCGGUUUGUCGCGUCUGCCGUGAAAUCCCUCGGCUCAACCGAGGACGUGCGGAAGAAACUGCAAGGCUCGAGUCCGGAAGAGGGGGGCGGAAUUCCCGGUGUAGCGGUGAAAUGCGUAGAUAUUGGGAGGAACACCAGUGGCGAAGGCGGUGCCCUGGGCCGGAACUGACGCUGAGGAGCGAAAGCGUGGGUAGCAAACGGG
rnacentral:rRNA from 1 species